rnacentral:rRNA from 1 species
GAUGGGAGCUUGCUCCCUGAUGUUAGCGGCGGACGGGUGAGUAACACGUGGGUAACCUGCCUGUAAGACUGGGAUAACUCCGGGAAACCGGGGCUAAUACCGGAUGGUUGUUUGAACCGCAUGGUUCAAACAUAAAAGGUGGCUUCGGCUACCACUUACAGAUGGACCCGCGGCGCAUUAGCUAGUUGGUGAGGUAACGGCUCACCAAGGCAACGAUGCGUAGCCGACCUGAGAGGGUGAUCGGCCACACUGGGACUGAGACACGGCCCAGACUCCUACGGGAGGCAGCAGUAGGGAAUCUUCCGCAAUGGACGAAAGUCUGACGGAGCAACGCCGCGUGAGUGAUGAAGGUUUUCGGAUCGUAAAGCUCUGUUGUUAGGGAAGAACAAGUACCGUUCGAAUAGGGCGGUACCUUGACGGUACCUAACCAGAAAGCCACGGCUAACUACGUGCCAGCAGCCGCGGUAAUACGUAGGUGGCAAGCGUUGUCCGGAAUUAUUGGGCGUAAAGGGCUCGCAGGCGGUUUCUUAAGUCUGAUGUGAAAGCCCCCGGCUCAACCGGGGAGGGUCAUUGGAAACUGGGGAACUUGAGUGCA